AUAGGUUUUUGCUCAUGCACCAUGGUUGUCUGAGCAUGCAGCAUGCUUGUCUGCUCAUACCCCAUGGUUUCUGGGCAGGAACCUUC
rfam:Otolemur garnettii contig167767, whole genome shotgun sequence.